GGGGAUGUGUGCUAAUCGCGCAGGCAGCCUGUCCCGAAAACAGGUGACCCGAAAGGGUUUGGGGGUUCGAAUCCCUCCAUCCUCG
rnacentral:tRNA from 1 species